UACGUAGGGGGCGAGCGUUGUCCGGAUUUAUUGGGCGUAAAGAGCUCGUAGGCGGCCACUCAAGUCGAAUGUGAAACCUCGAGGCUUAACCUCGAGCCUGCAUUCGAUACUGGGCGGCUAGAGUCUGGUAGGGGGAUCUGGAAUUCCUGGUGUAGCGGUGGAAUGCGCAGAUAUCAGGAGGAACACCGGUGGCGAAGGCGGGAUCCUGGGCCAGUACUGACGCUGAGGAGCGAAAGCGUGGGGAGCAAACAGG
rnacentral:rRNA from 1 species